GCAGGGCCUCACAGGCCGUGAGAAGCAUUCGGUUGCAGCCUUCGAACUUUGAGGAGCCACGGAAGGGCUCCUGACAGGGGACAGACAGAAUCAGUUUCAAAGUCUUCACUUAACAUGAAAAUGGAACCUUGGCUGGACGUCUGAACAGCGGAGCAAAAUCUCAUUAAUUGCAAGAACCAUAAUCCACUCUACACGAGGAGGAGAGGCGGCUGAAGUUUACCCUUGUCGUAACUAUAAAAAAAAGGAGUCAGCUAUGGAAAUUAAGCAUCUGAAUAAAAAUGGCUUCAUCUA